GACAAAAGUGGUAUCUUAUCUCUUAGCAAGCUCAUAGGUUUCAGUGUGACAACUACCUUACAGCAAGGAGGAGGACAUACUACUCAUAAAGAUACCCAAAAUGAGCAACCAAUGAGUGGACCAUAGCAUGGACUCAAAACUAUAGGCAUUGAAGUCAUCAAGAUACUGAUGUCAAAGACUGUUUGACUUGUAGAAGGAUUAAAAUGCCACUCCAAAAAAUGAUCAGUCAACAAUCAAGAGAAACCACAGAGAUACAGCAAAGUCUUGAUACCAGCCACCACUUGUCCUCCAUACAAGGGAUCUUGGCCAGACCACAGAUACAUACCCAUUACAGAUCACAUUUAACUGAAUCAAUGAAGAUGGAAAAGGAAUUUGAGAUACUGGAUGGAGCCUCUGUCCUCUGCAUUCCAAAAUACAGAGUGACAGGGAAUUAUUGGUGGGCUGUUCAGCAAAGAUUCAGCAAGGAAGGUUUGAGAUGCAUCCCUGCUGGUGAUGUGCCUCUCCUAAUACCUUGGAUCCAGUCAUCUUUUACGCCCACACACACUCAGGAAAAUGAGGUAUAUCUUGGAUCCUCAGUGACAAAUGAAGGAUUGAUGUAUGAAGGACUGAUCUGA
rnacentral:lncRNA from 1 species